rnacentral:rRNA from 1 species
GUACACUCCUGCGGGAGGCAGCAGUAGGGAAUCUUCGGCAAUGGACGAAAGUCUGACCGAGCAACGCCGCGUGAGUGAAGAAGGUUUUCGGAUCGUAAAACUCUGUUGUUAGAGAAGAACAAGGAUGAGAGUAGAACGUUCAUCCCUUGACGGUAUCUAACCAGAAAGCCACGGCUAACUACGUGCCAGCAGCCGCGGUAAUACGUAGGUGGCAAGCGUUGUCCGGAUUUAUUGGGCGUAAAGCGAGCGCAGGCGGUUUCUUAAGUCUGAUGUGAAAGCCCCCGGCUCAACCGGGGAGGGUCAUUGGAAACUGGGAGACUUGAGUGCAGAAGAGGAGAGUGGAAUUCCAUGUGUAGCGGUGAAAUGCGUAGAUAUAUGGAGGAACACCAGUGGCGAAGGCGGCUCUCUGGUCUGUAACUGACGCUGAGGCUCGAAAGCGUGGGGAGCGAACAGGAUUAGAAACCCGAGUAGUCC